rnacentral:rRNA from 1 species
CAGUCGCCACGGGAAUACGGAGGGUGCAAGCGUUGUCCGGAUUUAUUGGGUUUAAAGGGUGCGUAGGCGGCUAUUUAAGUCAGCGGUGAAAGACUCCGGCUAAACCGGAGCAGUGCCAUUGAUACUGGAUAGCUUGAGUGUUGGAGGGGUACAUGGAAUUGAUGGUGUAGCGGUGAAAUGCAUAGAUACCAUCAGGAACACCGAUAGCGAAGGCAUUGUACUGGCCAACAACUGACGCUGAGGCACGAAAGCAUGGGGAGCGAACAGGAUUAGAUACCCCAGUAGUCCCUGUCUCUUAUAA